CAGGUCCUCCAGUCUCUCUGAUAGUGUUGGUCUCUGCUGCUGCUGCUGCUGGAUUUCUGUUGAUUAUAGUUACAGUCGUGAUCUGCUGCAUCUGCUGGAAACAUGAAAAAACAGUCCAGACCCUGGAGGAAAACACUGAUUCGGCAGUGUGUAAUCCAACAACACGAAAAACAAGAUCAAAGAUAGAGGCUGUGUAUGAAAAUGUCCCCCAAAAAUGGCGAUCCAAUACUGAAAUUGAUGUUUGAGCUCAUACGGUCACGGAUUCACAACUUUUGGUUGAAUGCUGUAUAA